CCUCCUUUUUUAACAAUGCUGUAUAUACAUGAAGACUUGCUGUGUAUUCAGUGUGGCACAUGGAUGGAGUGGAUGCUUUGAACUGCUUUUGCAACAAUGGAUUCUGCUUGACUGAUAAUGAAACCAUGGGAUAGACCUCAGGGAGUGGCAAAGAGAUGAGGGAUCCUGAGGUCACUGUGCCGUGUGGGACAUCAACUGAAUGUGCCAAAGAUUGUGAACAUGAGUCUUCUCACAAAAGCCGACAAGGCUGGAAUGGACAAGGGAUGGAUGCCAACCACUUCUCGCUCUCUGCAUUUCCCUCCUGCCGAGUCUCCAGUGGCUGGUUGGAGAGCUUGACUUGGAGCCAGACUGGGGGGAGUAAUUUACUGCUGGCCUCUAAUGGCUAUAAAUUACUACAUGCCCUGGGGAAUUGCAGCUAUAAAGGUAGGGCUGUGACUCAGAGCUGGGUUCCAUGCUCACCACCUCUAACGUCUUUCUCUUACACGUGGAGCACCAAGCUAUGACUGACCUAAAAAAAAACCCCUUCCCUGUGUUUCCAGGCUGGUCCCAUACAAAAUGUUGCUAAUUAUUGGAGUUUUCUCCAUAUGUAUUGUCAGUCUACUGAGGUUCAGCAAUGUAAUUCUGAACCUCUGGGGAGCAGUGACUUCCUGAGAAAUCAUCUCUUGUUCUGAAAUCCAAGGAGCUCCAGCUCAAUGAGGAGAUGGAGGGGAAUGGCACAGGUUUCACCACUGAACUUUUGUUUUGCUUUCUGCUUAUGAACACCAUACAGAACUUCAAAUAACAUUACUAAGCAAAAAGCUUUAUGAUUAAUUAUGCCUGGUGCAGGUAUAAUUUAAACAUAUUGACUUGUCUGAAGUAAGUGCCAGACGGUGCAAUAGGGGAGACAGGAAGUGGCUGGUCAAGAUUGCUGAACCAAGCUGGAAUAAGAAGUCAGGGAGAGGAAGCGCAUCAUCAUUUAACUUUGCUUGGCAGCUCAGCAGAAAACUGAUGCAAUUGCUGAUGGACACUGAUAUCAAAGGGAGAAAAAUCAUGACAAAUUCUUUGUGCUUUUAAAAUUAAUGUAAAGCUAAUCAAUAGCUUGACUUGGUGCAAUAUAAAAAUGUAGUACUGGGACCUCCAUUAAAAUGAUUUUUCUUUAAACCUGUAUUCUGGGAUUGCUAUUAGAGAGGCUUUAGAGAUAAUAACGGCAGUUAAAAGAGAGCUUUCCAAUUCCCACCAGGUUGUUGCAUUUCACAGCAACUAGUCUGUAGCUGUGCUGGGAACUAGGUAAUGUCAGCCCUUGAAAGAUUAUGUUUUCUUUAGAGUUUUUUCUUUACAGGCCAGUGGGUCCCUAGGAAUAUUUAAGAUAGCACAUAAUGGGGUCAGGAAUGGAGAGAAAAAGAAACCAUUUGACUGUACUAUACUCAGUGUGCUAAAAGAGACCUUGGCUUUUUUUUUCCACACCCUCCCCCCCCUCAACUCUCUCCAGAAAACUGUGACCAUAUGUGAAUCCAUGAGCCACAAUUCAGAAUCCAAUCAGCUGCCUUAGGUUUCUGAUAAGAGAUCAUAUUGUAGUGAGGGCUCUCUUGCCUUUGAUAACCCUUGCGUCUAAAACCAGAAUAUGUGUAUUUUUCUCAACUCAGUGGGGGUGUUUUAUCACCCUGUGCUCACAUUCUUCACUCUCUCACUCAAGCUGGUCAUAGCUGUUUAAUGGUUAUCACUGUGCCAUCUGUAAAAGUGUUACAUGGUUCUCUGCAGUCCUGCUCAGAGACGUCUAUUCCUCCUAAAUCGUGUCUCUGUGGGUGCUGGUCACAGAAACUCAGCACUCCUGGAGCCGACUGGUGAUUCAUACCUGCAGAGUUCCCUGAUGCUGGCUGUGCUGAAGCCAGAGAUGUCGCCAGUAUCUCUGUGGGUGAGAUAAAGAUGCAAAAUGAUUUGGUGUUGCAUGCUGGCCUUCUCCUGAGUUAGUCCUGGAAGCUUUGUGAUGGUAAGUUACAACUUCAUCAGGAAUGCUUACAGUUUAACUUCACUGCUCUUCCCUUUUGACAGCAGUGGUCACAAAUAUGAUGUCUCCAUAAAUCUGCUACUCAGGCCAUGGCAUUGAUAAUAACCCAUUAUAUGAGGCUGAAGCGAGUCUAAAGAAUUGCCUUGGUGUGACUCUUAAACAUGGCAUAGGAUUUUUGAUUCCACUCUUAGGAUUUCAUUUACAUAGGUGGGGACAUGGGAAUGAAGGAAGCCUCCAAAGCUUAACAUGAGCAUCUGGAUGGGAUGGUAAUGAAGUUUCACUGUGGGAGAGAUUUUGAAGGCAUGGAGAUGGCAUUGUGAGUUGCUCUGAAAGCUGCCAAUUGUUGUCAGUAUGUUGACAAUUAUUUUCAAUUUGUUUUGUUUUGGUUUUUAAUUGUGAAAAUGUUCCCAGAAGCUUAGUAAAUGAGGACAUGUUCUUAUAAAUAUUGAGCUAAAAUGUAAAAGCUCACAUGGCCCAGCUUUGGUUAUGAAACCUACUUCUUGCAGUUGGUGUCAUUCUGCCCCUUGAAGGCCUGUGUUCAGAAGUGGUGCCUCUAGUUGUAGGAUGAGGGUAUUUAUCUCAGCCUACAAUGAGACAAUGCUUAGAGUAUGCUUCUUUUAAGCUGCACAUGCAGCCUUACAAAUGGAUUUAAUCCCACUCCAGCACAUGGCUUUGUUUGUGGACGUAGGAUGCCAGGAAAUAACAAUAUAUUCUGUAUGAUAUUUAUAAGCUGCAUGCAA